ensembl:lncRNA
AAUGACUGAAUCUUGGGUGGGGUGGGAUGAGUGGUGCAGGGUUUUUUGUUUAAUUCCCAGAUGAUUGUGAGGUGGAGCCAAGAUUUGAGACCUUCCAUGGGAAGAUCUGAAAUUCGGAGCUAGAAAGGCCUCACCAAGGAGGCUCAAGUUUUACAGCUUACUGUAAUUUAAUAGUUGAAACUUCAGUGAAGCUCAGUUUCCCCAUGUGUAAAAUGGGACUGAUGACAACGUUCCUCAUAAAAUCCAUGGGCAAAAUCCACACAGUGCCCUGCACUGUGCCCAGCACAGAGAUGGCUCCAGUUAUUGGCAGUAGGACAUUCAUUUAAAAUAAAGGGCUCUUCCAGGUCAAGGAUUCAAUGACAUGGAGCUCAUUUCUGGAAGAUGUAUGAUACUCUCGCAUCUCUCGGAUUAUUAAAGUAGGGCCAGGUAUGGUGGCACACACCUGAGAUCCCAGCACGCGUGAGGCUGAGGCAGGAUGAUUGCCAUGAGUUCAAGGCCAGCCUGAAGUACUUUUUGAGAUCCUGUCUCAAAAAAAAAGCACGUAGGAUUUUUAUAUGCUCUUACCUAAUUUAUUAAAUUUUUACAUUCAUUUUUGAAUCAUUAUUACAUCCAUAUGGCUCAAAAUCAUAUGGGUGUUCCCUGGGUGGGACAGUCGGAGCCUGGUGCCCUCCAGCACUAAGGAGCCUGCCCAGGACUUUCUGGGCCUUGGGCUGUGUGGGCAACAGGGAGGGCAGGAGGAGAGGCAGGGAAGGAAGGAAGUGUGGCCAGGGGCACAGGUCCUAGGGAGCAGGUGCUGGGGGAACCCUUCCUUGGGGGGAUUCAGAAUUCCAGACAGAGGUGGCAAAGAGAUUUUAACCUCUGUUCCUGCUCAGGCACCCUCUGGGUUCCCUCUGGAUUCUUGACCUGUGACCUGCUUCAAUCCAGGGACUUGGGGCAAGUCACCUUCUCACCUGUGCCUCAGUUUCCCCAAAUGCAAAAUGAUUAGACAGCUCCUCUUUGGCAGCCUUGGAGUAUCCCCAAAGGAGUCUAUGGGGCACCUCUCAUCUUGUCAAGAGGACCUGGAUCCUGUUCUGACCAGAGUAUAAUUCACCCAUCACAGCCCCCAUACUUCCUGAGCUGGGAGCUGUUGACUUGCUCUGAAAUUCAGGCUCCUCCCCUGGAUUCCUGUCUCCUCUGCCACCCCAUGCUUCCUUCCUUCUGUGCAGUGUGGAGUCAGGACCCUACCUGGUGGGUCCCAGGGGGAGCCCUGGUUCCUGUCCGACAUCUCCUGUUGCUAUGAGGCCCCACAGACGGGGCAACCUCUUCAUCCUUGAGCCGGCUCCUGCUGCCUCCCUGGCACUCAAGACGCUUCGAAGGCUGCUGGGCAGUUAAUCCCUUAAUGCUGGUCACAAUGGGAUUGCAGGGGCGGUGGGAGGUGGUCUCCAUGGAAACUACAGACCUCCCCAGGACCCAUGCAAGGACUUAGCCACAGGGCUCAGCCAGGGGCUCAAAGAGACCCGGCUCCAGUGGGAGCACAGGACAGAGAACCUGCACUGUCUCUGGGUCCUCCUGCUAAACUUGCAAGCUGCAGUCCCAGGCCUAGUCCUGUCCCCUUUCUGAGCCUCAGGGUCUUCAUCCUCCAUUUGUGGGGCUGGUCCUCAGCCAGCAGCUUUUCUAAAGAAUGCAAUCUACAGCGCCCACCAGACCUGAGUUUGAAGCUUGGCUUUCCCCUCUUGGAUGGCCCUAGGCCCAGCAUUUCACUUCUCUGAACCUCAGUCCCCCAACCUAUAGGGUGGGCACAAUAAUGUCACUUGGCAUCACUGUGAGUCUGUCUGCUGGAGUGACACUCAGUGAAGCCCCAGCCACAAUGCACAGCCCCUCCCUGGCCACCUGCAGAACCCUGGCCCCAGCUCAUCAUCUUCCUCUGUCCUCCCUCAGCCCACAGAGCUUUAGACAUCACAGCUUAACCCAAAGAUGACUGACUCCUCUGGCCUGUGACCCACUGACCCGCACAUGCCCAGGUCCCAGCUGGCACUUAGGCUGAGGCAGGAGAAUCUCCAGUUUAAACUCAGCCUGGUCAAUUUAGCAACUCAGGCAGACUCCGUGUGAGAAAAAAAAUUUUUUUAAAGGUGUUUUUUUUUCCAAAAAUUUAAAAAGGCUGGGGGUGUAGCUCAAUGUGAACUCUCUGGGUUCAGUCCCCAGUACUGGGGGAGGGGGGACCCACAGGCAGCUGAAUUGAAAUUUGGGAUAACCAGUGACUGAUUUUUAAAGCAUAAGUAUAUCCCUAAUGCAUGGGAUAUACUUUAAAAGUUUGCGCUUUAACUCAAAUCUAAAUGGAACUUAGAGGUCUGUAUUGUACCUGACAAUGAUUCCCUUGCUCACCUGGCUUGUAUUUUGGUGGGAAGGUGAGGCAGAGACAAUGAGCAUGUUCAAAAAAACAAGUAAAUUCUAAAAAACAGUUAAGUGCAGCAGAAACGGUGAAACAGCAUGCCCUGGCAGCACAGGGACAGGCAGGGGGCGUCUUUAUCUAGGGUGAUCCGAGCCGGGGGUCCCUGCCUGCUGGGAAGUUCUAGGCCAGAUGGAGAGCUGCCCUGGAAGGUUCUUUGGGGCGAAGGCGGCCCAACCUGGGCGGACCGUGAGCGGCCCAGGGCUCCGAUGACGCACUGGGCGGCGAGGUUGGCUGUGGGCUUCACAGACCUUCGCGAACCCUUAGCCCCACCCCUGGGACAAUCCAAUGUCCUCUAAGGGCAGGGAGCCCGGGGAAGGGGCCAAAGGAGCUGUGCGGAGAAGCGUGACCACCCGGCCAGAGCCGGGAGCCCUGACACGCUUUCACCUACUCCACCCGUGGCCCUGUCCCGCGGCUGCCAGCCCGCACUGGGCUGGCCCGGCCCCCCUCACAGAGCGGGAGGGCCGCUGGAAGGAGGAGGUCCCUAAACGUCCAAGACUGCGGUUCCCGGGCUCCCUCUCGUGGCCAACUCGGACACUAGCGCUCAAAAACUUGUAGAUAGCUACACGACCUUCACCAACCACAGCGGAGGCCGCGCUAAAAUCCCACCAAUCACAGGCCCAGAUGUACUACGACACUCCAAUUCCCGCCCAACCCCGCUGGCACGAUCACCAAUCAGAAUGCACGAUUUAAAAACUAGUUCCCUGGGCCUUCUCACCGCGGCUCUUUGACCUCUAUGAAAGUUUGUUACCAAUAUUUGGUGCCUGCUUGCAGGCGCCUUUAAAGAAGGUCCCAGGCUUUGUGCUGGCUCCACGGAGAAGCCCAAGCUUGCAUUGAGGGGCAUGGAUGAAGAUAUUGCCAUCAUUAAAUACUAUCCCUCCCCCAUUAUGAAAAUUGGUGUAGGUUGGGGGGAGCGAGGGAAAAGUGUGACCUUUGGAGAGGACACGCAAAGCCUUGCGCAGUAGGAUGGGACCCUUCUCCCUGCCCGGUGGUAAAAAGAAUAACAGUAACCUCUAUCUGUCAUAACCAGCACCCCUCCCUCCCCACCUCAGUUAUCCAGGCCCAGAUCCUGGGUGUCACUAUCUUUGUGUUCCCCCUCCUGUCCUUCCUAAGCCAUCAGAAAACCCAGUGCUUGUCAUCUCCAGCAGUAUCUCGAAUUUUCAUUUUUCCAACUCCUCCACUGCCAUCACCACCGGAAGUCGGUCAAAGGCUCUUCCCUUCCCUUCCACUCUCCCAGCGCCUUUACCACCCACUCUCCAGCCAGGGCCCGAGUGGUGACCUUGUACAAUCCUGCACAGAAUCGAGUUCCUCUCCUACUUAAACUUUUAUGACUUCCUGGGCACUUAUAAUACAUUUCAUGAAACUCCUGUCAUGGACAGGGUGGCAGGACACAACCUUCUAUGUUCCCACAUCUCCGAACUCAUUUCAUUCCACUUGCCUCUCUCUAGGGCACUGGCCUUUUCUGCCCUCUCCAGUUUUUCUUUCCUGUCUCAGGGCCUUUGCACAUGCUUUCCUUGUCCUUCUACCUGGAAUAUGAUUUCUCCGUUUGUUGGCACCAACAAAAAAGAUCCUUGAGAUGGGGCCCUAAUUGUCCAUCCCUGGGAGGGCUUCCUUACAUGUUUAUCUAUGUUCUCUCUCUCUCUCAUCAACUCACUUUUUAAAAAAAACUUAGUUUAUUUUAGAAGGAAAGGUUAUUGCUACCUAAUGAAACAUCAACAUCAUAAGUAGAAAAAAAGGGAAAAUAAACAGAAUGAAAUAAACCAUUGUAGUAUAUUCUGAUUUAAUACUGUUUGCCUGCCAAAGUUUCUGGGCAAACUUUUGUUGAAAAAGGACACCAAAAAGCUGGUUGAAAUGGCCAGAAUGAUUGGAAGCAGCACCAUGUUGAGGCUGAGGAUGCAAAUUCUAGAAAUUGAACUCCUGGGCUUGAGUUCUGGUUCUGCCAUGGACUAGCUGUGUGGCUCUGAACGAAGUUAUUUAACUUUGUUUCUGUUUUCUUUUUCUCUCUUUGUUUUCUUUUGGGGAGUACUGGGUUUUGAACCCAAGACCUUCUACACAUUAAGUAUGUGGUCUCUCACUGAGCUAUAUUGCCAACCCUGUGUCUGUUUUCUUAUUUUCAAGAUAGAGAUGCGAAGUGCAUGUGUCACUGGGUGGUUGUGAGGGUAAUUGGUGUUCAUGUCUCUAAGGGGCUUAGAACUGUGCCUGGCACAAGGUGAGUGCCGGGGGGGUGAUAGCUAUACAAGGGCGGGAUGCAGAUCCCAGCGACUAUGGAGAAGUGUUUGAACUCAGAGAAGAGGAAGAAAAACUCCUCCACACUGGUGAAACUAGACACCUGGAUGGUGUAGAUGAGGAGAGCUGCCUUAGCAGCAAGAGACUCGACAAAGUCCUGGAGGUUUUACUCAGCACAGCUGUCCACGCCCGAUCUCAUGUCAUUGGUGAGAACACAGACCUUGGGCCAUGUAGGGGCAACUGCAUGUGGUUUUUAACAGGGACACUUAAAAUUCUCCUAGCAUGGGACAGAGUGAGAAAACUAUGUACUCUGAAGAAUAAUUGAAGAUCUGAAGGAGGUUUGGGUUAGGUACUGGGGAAGAAGAGCAAGGCCUUGGAGUGGAGUGGUCAGGGCACAGCCUUUGAAAUAUAUCAAUGUGCCUUUUAUGUAGCUGUUUGACCUUGUGAAAGUUAUAAGCUCUUCAAGCCUUAUGUGCUUCAUUUACAAGGUAGGAAUCAAUAAUAGGUCUUCUUUAUUGAUUGCUUUGCAGAAUAAAUGUGAUAAUCCAUGUAUACCUUUCGGGUAGCUACUCAGCACAUAGUUAUGUUAUUUGCUGAAUUCAAAGUGGUUUUCCCUGGAAAAGAGGCCCACUGAUUCCGACAGCCCCAGAGGAUGAGCCAAGGUGCUGGGAUUACAGGCUUGUGUGUGCCGCCACACCUGGACCUUCGGAAUCUGACUUUUAUCCUCGCUUUCUUUGUCCCUUGCUCUUUCUGCCUUGGACGUUGAUAUUUGGCUGGAGAUAUACAGCCACAGCGGACAAUGAGGAUGAAGAGCUACUGGGAGGACAGUAGUUGGAGGGAUCCCGGAUUGCAGAGGAUGCUCUGGGGCAAGGUGGUCCUACUGAUCAUAGAGUGCCUACCCCUGGACCUUUCCUAAGAUGGGAGAGUCCUUCUCUCUUGUUAAACCACCAUUAUUUUAUGUCUUAGCUACUCAUGGGCCCAUUGUAACUGCUGAUAGACUGAUUAUCAGUCUGCUCCUGUUUGAUAUUUUUAUUGCAGACCUAAAUAAUGCAGUAAGACAAGAAAGAAAUAGCCUAUUGGAGAAUUCAGCAAGGUUGUGGGAUACUUUCUCAAUAUGUUGAAAUCAGUUGGUAUAUAUAGUAGCAACAAAUUAGAAGAUGCAAUUAAAGAAAAACUUUAUGAUAGCAAGAGUGAUAACUUACCUAGAAUUUAAUCUAAUAUAAAUUUUCCUGUAUUAAAAUGAUCAAACUCCAGAGGAAACAUUAUAAAUAAUCGACAACUAGAAUCACAUCAAAUCAAAGAGCUUCUGCACAACGAAAGAAACCAACAGAGUGAAGAGAUAACCUACAGAAUGGGAAAAAAGUUUUUACCAGUCACUCCUCAGACAAAGGGCUUAUAUCUACAAUAUAUAAAGAAUUUUUUAAAAAAUCAGCCCCCCCCAAAAUGAAAGACCAACCAACAAUGGGCACCUGAAAUGAACAGACAUUUCUCAGAUGAAGAAAUAGAAACAGGCAAUACAUAUAUGAAAAAUGUUCAACAUCACUGCCAUUUGAGAAGUGCAAAUUAAAACACAACUGAGAUUCCAUCUCAUUCCAGAAAGAAUAGCUAUUACCAAGAAAUCAACCAAUAAUAAAUGCUGGCGAGGCUGUGGGGAAAAAGGAACACUUCUCUGCUGUUAGUGAGAGUAUAGACUGGUGCAACCACUAUAGAAAUCAAUAUGGAGAUUCCUCAAAACAGAUUCCAUUUGAUCCAGUUAUUCCCCCUUCUUCUCUUCCUGAAAGAGUUAAAAGCAUCAUACCAUAGUGAUAUAUGCAUAUCCAUAUUUAUAGCAGCAUAAUUUACAAUAGCUAAGUCAUGGAAACAGUCCAUAUGCCCAUCAAAAGAUGAAUGGACAAAGAAAAUAUGGUAUUUAUAUGCAAUGGAAUACUACUUUGCCUUAAAGAAGAAUAAACUCGAAUAUUUGUAGGAAAAUGGACACAUCUUGAGACCAUAGUUUUAAGUGAAAUAAAUCAGACACCCAAGUUUAAAUGUGGCAUUGUUUCUCUUGUGUGAGAAACACAAAGGGUAAGGAGCAUGAUGGAGGAUAGAUAUUGAGAAAUAGGAAGAACAUGUUCAAAUGGGAAAGGGAAGAAGGGAGGGGAAGAAGAAAGGGAGGAAGGGAAAGAAAUAAAAAGAGAAUGGAAUAAAAAAUAAAAAUAAAGCUUGUGUAAAUGGGGAGGUAUAUAAGGGUUGAAGGGAACAUAGGGGAAUGUGGAAAAGAAGAGAUGUGUUAUGUACAGGUACAAAUUCCCUAUGAUGAGUGUGAUCAAUAUGUAUAACAAAUAUAUACUAAUAAAAAGAAUAAAGUUUAAAAAAUGAUCAAACUUCAUUCAAAACAUAAAAAGACCUUAUAAAUGAAGAUUUAUGUAAAUCUAUUUACAGUUCAAUCCAAAAGAUCAUUAUGUAGAGGUAUCAACUCUUUCCAAAGUAAUGAGUGAAUUCAAUGGCAUUUCAAGAAAAAGCCCAUUAGGACAAAGCCAGUUACCACAGUGCUUGGCAAAUUGAAAACACUUAAAAAUAUGGUAAUUUUUAUGAUCCAAACCCAGUAGAGGAGACAAAUAUGCCAGGAAUCUCUAGCCUUUCUUCUGUCCUGUUCAACCUCAUCCUAAAAUUUAUAUUAGCUAACAAAGAGAACAGACAGCCCAGUUUUAAAGAACAGCUAUAAAAAGGGAUGGACAGAGCUGGGCAUGAUGGUGAACACUUGUAAUCCCUGGGAGGCUGAGGCUGGAGAAUCUCAAGUUGAAGCCCAAUUUGGGCAACUUAGCGAGAUUCUGUCUUAAAAUAAAAAAGCACUGGGAUGUAGCUCAGUGCAAAAGCCCUGGGUUCAAGAUUCAAUCCCUAAUAUUGAAAAAAAAAAAGGGAGAGUGUGGAUUGUUUCACAACAUGCAGAGCUACAGCUGCCCUGUCCAGCAUGGUGGCUACUGUGGGCACUUGAAAUGUGGCUGCUUCAAAUUGAGAGGUGCUGCCAGGCAUGGUGGCAAACAACUGUAAUCCCAGAAUUUGGGAGGCUGUGGCAGGAGGGUUGCCAUGAGUUCAAGGCCAGCCUGAACUACACAGAAGACCCUAUCUCAAAAAACAAACCAAAACAAAAUCAAACCAAACAAAUUGGGAGGCACUGUAUGUGUGAAGCGCACAUCAGAUAUAUACAUUUAUGUAUAUAUAUUUUGUUGUUUGUUUUUUAGACAGGAUCUUACUAUGUAGUCCAGGCUGGCCUUAAAGUCACUAUGUACUCCAAGCUGGCCUCGAACUUGCAGGGGUCCUCCUGUCUCAGUCUCUUCAGUGCUGGGAUUACAGGCACGUGCCAUCAUGCCUGGUUAUAUUUUAAAGACCUAAUAUACAAUAAAGAAAACUACUCAUUAACUAUUUUUAUUACAUGGAUAUUGAAAUGAUAGUUUAGAUAUAUAUUAAAUAGCAGGUUUAUUAUUAAAAUUAUUUUCAACUGUUUCUUUUUUGUUACUUUAAAAACUAAGCUUUAUUUUGGUAUUUUUAUGGCUUGUAUAUAUAUGUCCCCCCAAAGUCUCAUGUGUUCAUAAGUGAGGCUUUUCGGAGCUGGCUGGAUCUAGAGUGUGUGAUACUAAAUUAGUCCACUAAUUUGAAUUAACAUACUUCUGGGUGUGGCUGAAUGAAUUUACUUCAGAUGCCCCACCCUAGUGUGAGUGUCACCACCCAAAAGUCUUAUAGCCUGGAUGGGAUAAAAGGGAAGGGUAGACUGCUUGCUGCUUCCUGCUUGCCCUGCCAUGGACUGUUUCUCCUCCGCCAUGCCAUCCUGGCCUUGGAGCCAGCUGACUGUGGACUGAAACCUCUACAAAUUGUAAGCCCAAAUAACCCUCUUCUCCUUUAACUUUGAGUGUUGGGUAUUUUGUUCCAGUGAUGAGAAAAGUAACUAUGACACUGAACUGUAGAUACACUGACUUUUUUCAGAUUGUUGAAAUGUGGUUCCUGGACAUGAAUGAGUGGAUCAGCGUUGGAGGCCUCAAAAGAGGUUGACAGAGAUUUGAAAAUGGGAGACAAAUGAUGUCAGCAAGUGGGGCUGGGCUAGUUGGUUAAUCAAACAUGAUGAUGAUGAUAAUGAUGAUGAUGAUGAUGAUGAUGGCAACUGCUGUGGUCUGACUGAGCCCCUAGGGGCUCCAUGUGAAAACCUUAUCACCUGCUUUGUACUUAUGCUACAGAUAUUUGGAGGAAGGUCUUUGCAAGGCGAUCAGGUUGAGUGAGGUCAUGAGGGUGAGGGUGGGGCCCCACACUGGCUUUUGAGGCUUCAUGAUCAGAAGAGGCCCAAGCUGGCACCUGCAAGUUCUCCACGAAGUGCCUUUACCCAUGCUGUGAGGCAGCAAAAUGGACCUCAGCACGGGCAGAGCAGACGCCAGUGCUAGGCUUCUGGACCUCCUGGCCUUCAGAACAGUGAACUGAGGGAACUUCCAGUCUUUAUCAGUUACUACUACUACUCAGUCCCAGGCAUUUUUUUAUAGCAACAGAAAAUGGAGUAAGACAACAUCUUUAUCUCAAACCGCAGGCAAAAAUGAACUCCUAUGGUAAAGAUCUAAAUCUGGAAAGUAAAGUUUGAAUACCUAUAGAAGAUAUUUAGGAUAAUAUCUUUUUGAUUUCAGAGCACUGUAAAAUUUUAUAGAGCAGGCAGGCAUGGUGGCACAGACCUUUAAUCUCAGCACUCGAGAGGCUGAGGCAGGAGGAUGGUGAGUUUGAGGCCAGGACUACAUAGUGAGACUCUGUCUACUUUUUUAGAGCCAAACAAAAAAUAUAGCCUAAAAGACAUUUCGAGGAUCAUCAAUACCUACUUUGAGAAACUGUACUCUCUAAAAAAACAUUUCUACGAGUGCUAAAAGAAUCAGUACCUCUUACAAAUUGAUAAGGCAAGGUUGAUAAUGCAAUAGGAAAAUGAGCGAAGGCUAUGAACAACACACGGCAGAGGAACCAAAGGACAAACAGAGCUCUUCUCUCUCUAAAACUAGCCACUGUGUCAAUUUAAAAAUGCGGUAUCAUUUUGCACUCAUCUUCACAGUGGAGUGGACAUGAAGCAAGCAGAUCUCCCCAGCACACCCGACUGAAGCAGCGGAACUGGGCAAGUCAGCAGUUCCUAGUUUCUCACACGGGGGAAAAUGCCUUUUGCCCAGGAUGCAGAAAUCCCACUUCUGCAUAUUAAUCGUGAGACACUGUCACCCGCAGGCAGAGGAAUGGUCUCUGUAGGGUUACAAUAGUGACAAACUACAUACCACCCAAUGCCAAAAACCAGAAUAAAUAUACUUUCCGUAUCCAGACACAGCAUUUUAAAUGAGUGACCUAGCUAGGUGUGGUGUACACCUGCAAUCUCGGCACUCGGGAGGUGGAGACAGGAGCAUCCCUAAGAGUUCAAGGCCAACCUGGGAUACAUAGUGAGACUCUAUCCCCAAAACCCUAAAAAUAAAAAAUAAAAUAAAUGAGUGACCUAGUGGUAUUUGGAUCAGCAAAGGAAGAUUCGAAAAGCUACUACAUGGAGUAAAUUUUUUUUAAGUUACUGAUGGAUCCAUGCAGUAUACCAUUUAAAUAAACUUUCCAGAUAUGCAAGAUCGCGUAUAUGAGCACAUAUAGCAAAAAUCUAAAAACAUACGGUGUUGAUAAUAGUCAAAGGUUGACAUCAGUUCCCUCUGAGCUGAGUGUCAGGGUGAUGAGAUCAGGGAGGGAACUAGGUCUUCAAUGUCAGGUUUCAUUGGCCGAACAAGCAAAAAUAAACCCAAAGAAAACAGAGUCAUAGGGUAGAAUCUGACAAAACUGAGUAGUGAGUACACAGACUUUCACAUUGUUAUUCUGUCUUUUCUGCAUGUUUGUAAUAUUUCCUACCUAAAAGAGAAGGAAAGAACCAAGGGUGGUAGUGCAGGCCUGUAAUUCCAGCUCACUGGGAGGCUGAGGCAGGAAGAUCAUAAGUUUGAGUCCAGCCUGGGCAAUUUAGCGAGAUCCUGUCUCAAAAAUUUAAGAAAAACCAGGGGAUGUAGCUCAGCAUGAUGGCCCUGAGUGCAAUUCCCAGUACCCUUUAUAAAAAAAUAAAGAAGAAAAGAAAUGUUUUAAAAAAUCAAUUACCUUUCUCUAUAUCAACAACAUACAAUAUAAAUUAACGUAUAAUAAAAACAUGAUUUAGCUCAGUGGUUCUGGCGCCUGCCUCAAAAGCACAAGGUCCCGAGUUCCAUCCCCAGAACCAAAAAACGCAAAAAACAUAAUUUAAUUGAGAAAUAAAAACUUUAAAACCCUAUUGUUUAAACUCUCCAGUGAUCUUUUUAGACUGUAGCUAGGGAUACAUCUGAGACAGUGUUCCUCAGCUCAGGACGGGACCACGGCACUGGGUGUGGAUGUCAAAUGCGGAGCUGUCUGUGCUCAAGGCGAGGCCCUGAGUAGAGGGGGGGCUCUCAGGAGGCCUCUAGUUUUGGCCCUGCCACCGACUUGCUAUGCAGCUUUGCCUAGAAUCGCUCUGCCUAGGGGCCUUGGUUUAUGGAGCUAUUAGAUGGGCCCAGAAGCAGUCAGCAGGCCAAGGCAAGAGGAGAAUGAGCGAGGCCCAGUCUGAACCACACAGUGAGUCCCUCUCUAAAAAUAAGUGAACUCCAAAUUCCCAGGUUGAAGCCCAGAAUUAAAAUGCCUUGGCCAAUUCAUUUUAUUUUUCCUCCCUCAAGGAACUGUUUGUUUUUGUUGUUCUUUGAAACAGGAUCUUGCUAAUGUAGUUCAGGCUGGCCUUGAACUCACUAUGUAGCCCAGGCUGGCCUUGAACUCUCAGCAAUUCUCUUGCCUCAGGCUCCUGAGUGCUGGAACUGUAGGUGUGCACCACCAUGCCUCGCAAAGUAAUUUGUUUUGGUUUUUUUGUUUUUGUUUUGGUACUGGGGAUCAAACUCUGGACCUUGCGGUUUCAAGGCAGACGCCAGAACCACUGAGCUAAAUCCCCGGCCCUUGGAUUGGUUUUUUGGGUUUGGUUUUUAAAGAAAACCAUGCCGAGUUUGAGGUCAGCCUGGGCUACAUAGUGAGACCUUGUCCCCCACCCCAUCUCAAAAAAAAGAAAAAAGAAAACCAUGAUUUAUCUUGAGAGAGAGAGAGAGAGAGAGAGAGAGAGAGUUGCUGGAGAUUGAACUCAGGGCCUGGGGCACGCUAAGUAGCAUCUCUACCACUGAGUCACAUCCCCUAGCCUCACUGUUUACUAAAGCAGGUUCACAGUAGAAGAAUUACAGGGCGCAGGGGAUGUAGUUCAUACAAAACUGCAGAAAAGCAAAAUAAAAAAGAAUCAAAUUCACUCCCAAUGCCACUUAGGGCUCUCAGAAAGUCUGAAGAUAGGUAGCAUUUACAGAGCCUUGUGUGCAGAGCGGUACAAAGACAGCUCAUUUAGCUCCUCACUGAGGCUGAGGCUGGAAGGGCGUCAGGUCUGUUUCCACCCUCAUCCUACAGACUGAGCUCCAACUCCAGCCUCCCCGGCUCUGCAGCACAAGCUCUCAGACCCCCAUUUUUCCUCACCAAAGCUCCAUAAGCCUCCAGGUUCUCAUAUCUCCCCCACAGCAGCAAGGCCACUGCCUUCUCCAGUGACAAAAUCAGCACCUUCACUGCAGCAGGACCCCCUUCCUCCCCCAAACUCAGUCCAUCUUAUCUCCAGAAAAACUGAUCUGCCCCAGGAAGAGGAAAACGUAAGCCUCUGUCCAUCCCAGCUCCACCCCCAUAAGUCUCUGGAUUUGGGGUUAAUUCCAGACUGGAGACAGAAGAAUGGCUGUGUAAUUACGUUUUAAAUUGACUAUUGUUUUAUGUGAGUUCUGAUAAAGAACACACAAUGGCUGUCAGAUGGGGACUGGGAAUGAGACUCCCACAAUGGAGAAUUCUAGAGGACAUGUUUGGAGUUCUGGAGCCUGGGUCCUCCCAGGAGAUAGGUGACCCGGCAACAAGGGUGGGGACACCAGAGAUAAUUGAGGGGUGAGGAGCAGACCCAGGCAGGGAUACCAGCCCAGGGGCUCCUGCUAGGAGCAAUCCUUUCAGGCAUGGAAAACGGAGGCAGAAGAGUUAGCAGGGAGCUUGCUUGCUGCUGUGUAGUCCAAGAGACUACAGCAGCACUGCCAGAUAGAAAAACAGUGUGAGCCACAGGUGGAAGUUCAAAUGCUGUAGCAGCCAAAUUAAAAAGUAGCAAAUCUAAAAAAAAAAAAAAGUAGCAAAUCUAUGAAAUAGAGGAGAUUGCUCUUACAAAUAAUAAGCUUCCCCUUGGUCUUAGCAAUCAAGGGUCCCAAACUCAAAGGCCCUCAAUGCACAGAGAGGUAACAAAAAUGUAUAUAACAGGGGAGUAUGAUCAAAUUUCACACUUGUUAAAAGAUGCCACAAGCAAAAUGCACAUAUAUAUAUAUAUAUAUAUAUUUUGGUACCGGUGAUCAAACUCAGGACCUCGGGCUUGUGAGGCAGGCACGGUGCCACUGAGCUAAAUCCCCAGCCCUACCUUUCUUAGUAGAGCUUCAGUGUAGGAGCACUAAGGGACAGUAGGGACUGUGGCAAAUUAGAGAAAAUACACCCAGUCUAAAUUAGUUCCGGCAGACCCUGCCUCAUGGGUAUGAAGAAUCAGUGGACAAGAGCUUCCAAUUUUUUUAAAGAAGCUGAAAGUUGAUAUUUUUAAAUGUUAACAAUCUUUUCAAAUUUUAUGAACUUAAAAAAAUUGGUCCUUUAAACUCUGCAUCCUGUUUUGCCAAAGAGGAAAUUGAGGCUCUGAGUGCUUAAAUAUUCCUCCAGUUCACCGCAAAGACCAAUAAUUGGCUCAGUGGCUUCUCAUUCCAUUGAAGCUAAUAACCAACAACAAUGGUUCACUUCUGUUAUUGAAGGUUUGCUAGGUACCAGGUUCUGUGCUAACCCUGCUCGGAUGACACCUGUUUAGGAUGUCAGAUUUAAAGAGGGGGCAACUAAGGCUCAGAAAGGUAGAGAAAAUUGCUCAAAAUCACAUUAUGGGUCUUGAACCUGGGUCAGUGAUUUUGUUUGUUCUUUUGUUUUGCAAUACUGCAGAUUAAACCCAGGGCCUCACACCCAGCUACACCCCAGCCCUCUUUGCAUUUUGAGACUGGGUCUCACAGUCACUCAAUUUCCCAGGCUGAGCUUGAGCUCCCAAUCCUCCUGCCUCAGCCUCUGAGAGUGCUGGGAUUACAAGCGUGUACCACCAUGCCUGGCUCUGGGUCUGUGUUUGAUUACAAAAUUCUAGAUGCUUCCUCUUGCUACGCUCUCUUUCACCUCACCAAGCAGAACCCCAGAUGCCAGGUAGCCCGGUGCGGUUUACCUGGGGCUGUUCUGCCAGAUGAGGGGCUCAGGAGGGUGCAGCCUCCUGCACUUCGACACUUGCUUAACCCAGUCACCUCCAUUACAUCGUUCCUGUGAACUGGCUUCUAGGUUGGAUUUCAUCUGAAGAUAGAAUUCCAGUGCCUUUUUGGUUUUAUUUUCAUUUUAAAAACCAUGGGUGUGUCCAUGGUCUCUCAAUGUAUAGGUGAGGAAACUAAGGCCCAGGGGACAGCAGGUGCUUGAGACCCCUCUGCAGGUCAGGACCAGGGCGAGGACCAGGCCCUGGGUCUUCUGCUCCUAGUGCUGAGUCUGACUGGGGAGCUGCCCCAGGCAUCUGGGGCUCUCUCCUGGAAGGGCACCUGCCCUACCUAGGCUAUCUCAGUGCCUCCUCCGCCCUUCUUCUUGCUUGAUUGGGUAACUUUUGGACCUGUUCCUCCACCAGCCCUUCCUGAGGUGUGGCUGCCUCUGCUGCUGGUCCCAGGGAAUCCUGAAGCCUUGGCAGUGCGGCAGCCAGGGUUUGGCCGGUCCUAUGGCAGACAGUCAUCAAACAGUGGCUGUCUGGGCACAGGGAGCCCUAUUUACCCAGGGCAGGACCUGGACAGGGGCUGCCACUUCCUCCCCAGACCACUGGCCUGUCCAGCUGCUCAGCAGCCUGACUCAACUGUCCCCAUCUGUAUUUGCUCAGUUUGCAAAUAUUGGACUACUGUGUGCCUGGCAUGCUGGGAUGCGGCAGACAACAAGGCAGCCACGUCCCCUGCUCUAAUGGCACCUGCACUGGAGUGGAGGACCCAGAAGAUAAACAGAUGGUCAGAGCUUAACUUCAGAGCUGUAGAGGUUCAUGGGGUGGGAUGGGCUUACAUUUGGCCAAUUAAACAAGGCCUCUGAGCCGGGGACAACUGAGCUAAGAUCCAAAGUGUGAGAAGAAAUUGGUUAUGGGAAGAACUGGGGAGAAGGGGACCAUGGUGAGAACAAAGGCACCCAGUCAGGCAUGUGAUUAGCAUGACUGAAGGAUAACAGAAAGGUCAGGGUGGCAGCCCUGGAGAAAGCAAAGGGGAGAAAGUCAAGAGAAACCAUCAGGCAAGAAUCAGAGCCUGGGCCAGGUGUGGCCAUGCAUGCCUGUAAUCCCAGCACUCUGGAGGCUGAGGCAGGAGGAUUGGCUGUGAGUUCAAGGCUAGCCUGGGCUGCAUAGUGAGUUCAGGCUAGGAUGAACUACAUAGCAAGACCCUGACUCACAAAAAUAAAAAAUAAAAAAAAUUACAAAAGAAUCAGAGCCUGGGGCCUGUGUGGACAAAGAAAAGUGCUCAGGUUUUUAUGGGUUUUUUUUUUUGGUACCGGGGAUCAAACUUGGGACCUUGCACUUUCGAGGUAGGCAGCUUUGUUUUUGAAAACAAAGCCCUGGAGGAUCUUCGGCAGGGAAAUCAGAGUUUCUCAAACUCCUCUGGCUCUGGGGUUUAACUGGGCUUUUCCCCUUGUGUUUUCAUCUGUAUGUUUAAGUGUCACGGUUAUAUGCUACUUCUUGGUAUUUUCAGUUUUAGAUGUAUUGCAUUAACUUACUAGUAGAAAUGAUCUUGUCUAAUUAUCCUGAUUUGGAGAUCAGUCAGCAUUCAUUGUUUUCAUUUGCGGAACCAUAUGACUAUCAUUACUAUUCAGCAUUGCUGUCAUUACUGUCAUCCAAAGCUGCCAUCAUUGUUUGUGAACCUGAGCCUUUCUAUUCACUGUCUCAACCAAUACUCGCUGUGACAUUACAUCAGAAUAUCAUUAACACUUAACAGCUAGCGCAGCUCUGUGCUUGUGGAAGACUGUGGCAUCCAUUCUUUCCAUCAGCAGAGCUAUCUGGAGGGAUAAGCAGAAUCAGCAUUAUUAAUCCCAUUUUUGGAGGAGGACAUGGAGUCCAGAGUGAUAAAGAGAAUUCAUCCUCUUGCAGUGGGGUGCAAGGACUAAAAUAAAAUGAAUCUUCCACUAGGAAGGAAGGAGUUGGGGGUCCCCGGACAACUGUUUGGGUUUGUUUGUUACAUCAGCUAGUGUUUCUCUUACUAACACAAAGCCUGGGUUUAAGGCCUAGCUCUGCCCCUCAUGGGCUGUGUGAUUUGGGACAAGCUAUUUAACCUCUCUUGUUAUCUCUCCUGGGAAGUGAUCAGAUGACAGCAGCUACCUCGAUUAGUUAAUUAAGUGCUGAGAACAGUGUCUGGCUCAUAGAAAUACUACAGAAGUGAAAACAUAAACAGGAUCUAGGAAGUGAAUGAGGCAGUACCUAGACCUGUGCCUUCUGAUGCCAAGUUCAGUGUCUGGUCCCUAACUCCAGUGUGUGGUCCUUAUCACAGUUUCUUCCAUACCUGCCUAUGACCUCUACCUUACUUACCUGUAAUAGUACUUUUUUCAAGAAAUGAAAACAAGUCAAUUAAUUGUAUGAAGAACAAAUAUGCUAAAAUUUUUCAUUCUGCACUGUAAGGCUACAGUGCUCUAUGUUAUCUGAUUUGGAGUCCUAGAAACUUGAGACACUGCUAUUUGAUAACUUUUUUUUGGGGGGGGGUACCAGGGACCAAACUCAGGACCUUGCAUUUGUGAGGUAGUCACAGCACCACUGAGCUAAAUCCCUGGCUGCUGCUAUUUGAUAACUUUUAAUGAAGACUAUUGAAAUAUACUCUGGGAAUAAUAUAUCUGCUUGAAAACAAAACAGUGUGCUUUGAAGGCCCACUGCUUGUUUUUGUAAAUAAAGUUUUAUUGGCAAACGGCCACACUCAUUCAUUUAUUUAUUGCUUCUGGCUGUGGUUGUGCUACAACAGCAGAGCUAAGUAGUUGCCACAGAUCUCAUCUGGCCUGUCAAAUCUAAAAUAUUUACUGUCUAGAUUUUACAGGAAAAAGUUGCCAACUUUUGUACUAAAGUUCUAAUUCAAAACCCAUAAGAGUCAGUUAAAUAUCCUUCUAUUUACAGUUCAAUUUGUUCCACAUAUGGGUGUAGCAAAUUUUAACAAUUUCAUAUUUGUUAGCAUUUUACUUUGAAAAGUUUCAAGCCUAUUAAAGGUUAAAAGAUGAGAAUAAUGAACAAUGAUGUAUCUGUUUACCUCAAUUCACAAAUUGGUAGCAUUCUGUCACAUUUAUUUCAUCGCUAUGUAUGUUAUCUAUGCACUUUUUUAUAUAUAUUAAUUGGUACAUUUUAGGUAUACAAUACAUUUACAUUUAUUAUUGGGUGUUUGUACCUGAACAUGAUGUAUCUUAGUUCUUAUUUUUUUCCCCAUUACCUAUGCGCCUUUCACCCAUCUAUGCACUUUUUAUUAAAGCAUUUGAUAUAAAACUGUAUAUGCAAAUUCAUUAUACAUAUUUGGGGGUGUGUGUAUGACUCAUUAGCAGAGGUGGUCAAUUAUGCACCAAAUAAUCCAUGGUCCCCUUUGCAUGGUGAAAGUUUGUUUUGUUUUGUUUUUGUACCAG